GGAAGGGUUAUACACCACUUGCUGCUGACUGUAAGGAAAGGCCAUUUGGUGAGACAUCAUGAUGUUCCCGACAGAGGGAGAGAUAAGAAUUCAGGUCCCGGCAGGGAUUUUCAUUCCAUUGAACUUUGUCAGCGGCUUACACAUUUGGCCAGGAAUUAUAACUUCCUUAGGGAAGGUAUGAAUCACAUCACACAAAAAUCUCUGUCCAAGACCAAAUCUGAGGAGACUUUUAUCUGUCUGUGUGGAAUUCCAUAAAAUGAAACCCCCAACUCCUUUCUCAACUUGUUCUCAGAAGUCUCGUGAGAUUUUUCCCUGCUACCCUCAUCCCUUGUAGGCUGUUUCUCCGAGAAACCUGUCCAGCCAACCUGUUGAAGGCAUAUGCGCCGUAUUUUCACCAGCAUUUCCUUAAGAUAUUGGAUCUGAGCUAGGGGUGUAGCAUUGCUUAACAUAUGAGAGACCCAAGUUCAAUCCCCAGCACCACCAAGAAAGAGAACAUUGGUGUGAUGAAAGAAGACCUUGAUGCUAAGGAUUUCUUUUCAGAAUAAAAGCAUGAUCUUAAAAACUGCAAACAAGGUUCAAGACAUGAGGAAAAGAACACAGUAUUGAGGAGGAUUCUGGGAAGAUGGAACAAGAAGAGAAAGAUACUUUCUCAGACAUCAGAUCUACUGCUACUGUGAUCUUGGACUCCCAGGCUCCAGAACAAUGGGCAAUAAUUUUAUGAUAUUUAGAUAUCAGCCAGGGUAAAAUAUUUUGUUAUAGCCAGUGUGUGGCUUGAGAUAGUCUUUUUUCCUUCCAAGGGUGGUUCCAAGGCUGUGCCGAUACUAUUGCUUGCUGCUUUAGGUUCUAGAGAAACUGACACCUACACUGCCCCUUGAGACCAGCUAGCCCACCCACGUCUCCUGCAAGGUGGCAAAUGGGUUGAGUGGACAUCCUGGAGAGGAGACCAUACUGUACAACUGCAGCUUCCUAUGCUCAGAGGAGACUCCAGAACUGCUAUGGUCCAUUUGGAAUAGUGCCUGAUUUGGCUAUGUGCUGAGUUGCUUUAUGAACAACCAAGGGCACACUGAAGGAUUGAUGAAGGAACCAACCUCAGAGAGCCAGGAAAACCUCCUCUUUGAAGAUCUAUAACUGAGCCACCUCAAGCAAGGAGAUGAGAUGCUUUGAAAGAUGGAGUGUUGGUGACUCUCGAUGCAUUCAGAGUCAUGGGGAAUCUUGUUAAUUGUUAUUUUGAUUAAAUUUUUUACUGUUCAGUUCGACAUCAGGGAAAGCAGACCCUGGCUCCACCCAUAUACUUCAUUACAGGCUAGUUCAGCAACUGCCUCUAAAACUUCUCAUCCAGAAAUUAAUUUGAAGGCAGAAGACAGAACAUAAAUAAAGGGAAAUAAACAGGCCUAUGGUUGUCACAUUUGCUUUCCUCUGGCCUGUUUACACUCUGUUUACAGCACUGCUAUAAAAUUUCUCCUAAUUACCCUUCCUAUCAAAGGCUAACAGGGAAAACCAGCAUUGGUCAAAUUUGCAAGUGUCCUCUGAAUAAAGGCCCCAGAAGCCUCCAUGUGGAUGGAGGGCAAACCUUUACUUUUCUGCAAGAUGAUUUAAAGAAAGGAUAUCUUGGGAUGCGCCCCAUCUUUGGAGACCUUGGCUGGUUCUUCACGUGUUGCUUCAUUCAAUGGCAUCGUGCAUGUAUGGAGUGCUGGCCAUGCAUCCACAAUGGAGCACGGUGCUGAAGGAAAGCUUGGGAUUGACUUCCUGGGGACCCAGUAGGUCUCCUAGGACAGUUCACAGAUCACCCUAACAGCACAUGAAGAUGACUGCUGUAACAAGAGCAUAAAUACUAAGUUCUGAGAAGACAGAAGAGUCAUUCAUUGAUCUUGGUCAAGGAAUUUUAUUGCUCACAUCUGUCUGAAAACUUAAUACUGCAAGGGUGGUACAAAGGCUUUCUGGAGAAAAAGAUCUUGAGUUGAGCCUGUACUAAGAAGCUGUGAUGGGUUGACAUCUGCAAAGAAGAACAGAAAACAGUGAAUAUGUCCUUAGAGUUGGCGGGAGCGCAGAUGGAAAGCCGUGGAAGAGUGAGAACGGACAGAGCCACCCUUGGGCACAGAGACAGGAGACUGACAAUUGUCAAGGGAGCAGUGUUUAAAAUAAACAUAUGGCUGACUCAGUUAGACCCCAGCCCUCAGUUACAGAGCCAUGGAGGAGAACUGAAUGUUUUCAUUGACCUGAUAAGUACUUUAUGUUGCUAAUAGUGGUUAAUUAGCAGUGAGUAGGUUACCUGCUUUCAGCUUCAGGGUUAGAUCAUUGGUUUUGACACUAACACUAAUGGGAGAACAGAAAGCAACCGGAACCAAUGGCCUGGAUCGGAACGGAUUGUCCCAGCUGGGAUGAGGACACAUUGCUUCCUCACUCUGUACUUCUACUUCUCCAUCUUUGAAAGGAUACUAAAAGCCUGGGACUGUGAUGAAGACUCUGAGUCUGUUGUUGGUCAAUUUGACUGCACCUGGAAUGAACUAAAACCCAAGCAGCUCAGGGACACCUGUAAGUGAUGUUUUCUUAACCAAAUUGUUUGAAGUAGAAAACACCCACUUUUAAUCUGAAUCUUUGGCGAUGGGAAGAUACAGCUUUAAUCUGAGCCAUAUCUUUUGCUAGCAGCCUAUAGCAAGGACAUGGAAGAAGGAAGCUUGCUCUUUGCCUAGUUGUUCUUGCUGGCAAGUCCAUUCCGUUAUGGGUAUUAGAGCCUACUGCUUCAGGAUUCUGGUGUAUACUGAAGAUCAGCCAAGACAGCCAGCGGACUCAUGAACUAAACAUCUGCUGGAUUCUUAGGUCCUCCAAUGGUAGACAGCCAUUGUUGGACUAGCUGACCACAGCCUGUUUCACCACGGCUGCUCCUGUCAUUGGUUAUCCAGGAGGUGACAUGGAUAAACCCUUGAAAUCACAUUCAUCACAUACAGGCUGCCAAGAGCAUUCAUUCACACGGAACAAGGGAUGCAGGAAACACUUCAGAGGACAGCCCUCAUCUCUUCCUUCAAGCCAGACCUACCAAUUCUGCUGUUCCAUGAUGUGCUGCAUUGAACAAAAGGGGAUUUGGUACCCGGUGGCCGAGAAGUGAGCCUCAAGGGGCCCAUCAGGCCACUAGAUCUGUUUCUCUGGGUGCAUGACUGCCACACACAUCAUGACUCCACCUCCUCAAGACCUGUGUCCUGAGUCUUCUGUGCAGCUGUGCCUUCCAGGCCCUUCAUGGUGGCCUUCGUUUCUGUCUGUCUUUCCCUGCUACCUGAUAAGACUAAUUUUGCUUCUAAUUUCAUAUCUUGGCGGAGCUCUUGGGGGGAUUAUUCAUGAUUUCCAUUUGUCUUUUCUUACUACCGUAGCUCAGACUCCACAAACAACUCUAGGGUGUGGGUAGCUCAUACUUGCUAGCUAUCUGCCAGUCUGCUGAGGAACUGGAGACAGACCAGCUGGGUGGGGCCACAGACCCAGAGACUCACUGUAACCCAGACAUUAGCCGGAUUCUCAUACGACUUGACUCCAUGGACCCUCACUAUAACAUGACAGACAAAAUGAGGCUGUGAGUCUGUGCCCAACAGUCUGAAACAUCUGGUAGGUCCUCUCCCUGACAAUAGUCAAGAGUGUAAGUGACCAGGGCCCCUUUGGGAAAGGACUAAGGGAAUAAUUACACACUGGCCAUGGUGCUGUGGACUCCUUCCUUCAAGGACAAACCCUACUAGGCUUCAGAUCUAGAAUGGGCUAGGUAGUGAGCUGAAUUGAACUCGAGGCUGUGGCUUAUUGUAGGGAUUGCCUACCCCCUGCUCCUCUUUUCUUCCCUUUGAAGCACCUGUUCUAAAUGCUCAUCAGCAUUGGUGAUUCUUCUUGUUAUCGUAAGAAGCAAUUCUGUUAAAACAAUACCUCUAAUGUUCUCUGUGAGCCCAUUCCCCUCAAGUCCCUCUACCCUGCUGUUCCUUACAGUGGUUGUAGCCUCUUGGUCUCUUACAAUUAACCUCAACUUACAUGGAGGAGUCUUGGCUUUACUGGUCACCAAUUCCUAGAGAGGUGUCCCAUAGCUGGUACUGGGAUCUUAAUUUAGUAACUCAUUGCUUUGAAGAUCAGUAUUGAUACUCUCUGGCAUCCCAAGGCCCUGUGUAUGAAACCUCUAUCCAAAGUUUUUUUUAUUUAAUUUUGGUUUUCAUGUGCCUUCUUUAUACAUUCUUUAUCACUAUUUACCAUUCUAUGCCUGUUUAAGCAUUGCCAUCCCAAUAUUUCCUCACUCUAUUUUCAUAGCACGUAUGUUCUGCCAUCCCCACAUACCUCAAGAUGUCUGAAUUAUGCUUUUAUCCAUGCUCAACAUGGCCCCUUUCUCCCUUCUAGAUCUCUAUAGAUAUUCCAAUUUUAACAAACAAAUCUAAAAAUUCAAAGCUAUGACCCAAAUACGAAAGAGAAUAUGCUGUGUUUGGUUGAGUUUGGGGGCUGGGUUAGCCAGCUUGGUAUAAUGUUAAAUGAAUAACUAGAAAAGAUUUUCUCCCAUUCUGUAUGCUGUUCCUUCACUAGACUGACAGAAGAGUUUUAGUUUCCUGAGUCCCCUGAGAUAUUUUUGUCAAUUGUUGCUCUUAAUUUUCCUACAAAACUGGAAUCCUGUUCAGAAAGUUCUUGUCUGUGACUCUAUGUUGAAGUACACUCACAGACUUUUUCAAUAGCACUUUCAAAGUAUCAGGUCUUAUGUUGAAGUCCUUGACACAUUUGGAAUUGAGUUUUAUGCAAGAUGAGAGAUAAAGCCCUAGCUUCACUUUUUAAAAAGUGUUUGAUUUUUUUAAGACUGUGGGACUUUUGAAGUCAUUUAUGUUUUAUAUUGUGAUAUAUUGGAGGUUGAAUAAGAAAGGAAAAGUUAUGGUUUAAUAACAAUCUAAUAGUAAUGUAUUUGGUGUUCAAGUUGGCAUGGGUUGAAUUGUUCUUUUCUCUCUCCUUUUUUGUCAACUUGACACAAGCUACAGUCACAUCCUCUUUCUCCAGCAUCAUUUGUUGAUACUGUCUUUCCUCUAGUGAAUAGUUUGGAAUUUUCAUUACAAAUCAGAUAGAUAUAGUUGCAUUAGCUUAUUCUUUUAAUCUGCAUGUCUGUUUUGUGUCAGUACCAUUCUGUUUUGAUGACUGUACCUCAAUAGUAUAACUUGGAAUCAGGUAUGGUGAUACCUCCUACAGUGUUCUUUUUGUUCAGGACAGCUUUGGCUGUCCUUAGUCUGUGUCUCCAUAUAAUUUUAAAAAUCCUUUUCCUGCAUCUUGGAAGAACGGCUCUGGAGUUCUGGUGGGGACUGCACUAAAUUUUCAGUUGCUUUGGUGAAGUGACCAUUUUCACAAUAUUAAUUCUUUCAACCCAUGCACAUGGGAGGUCUUUCUGUCUUCUAGUGUCUACCUCAAUUUCUUUCUCCAGUGUUUUAAAGUUUUUGUUACAAAGGUUUUUCAUUCCCUUGCUUAGAAUUAUUCACAGGGUAUUUAAUUUUUUAUGGCUAUUGUAAAUAGGAUUGUUUCUCUAGUUUCUUAAUCUGUUUGUCAUUGGUGUGUUUAGGAAAGUGCAUAUAUUCUGGGGUCUCCAUUGCAUCUUACACUUGCAACAAAACUUGGCAAUAUGUAAGAGUCAAUCAGAUAGUAAUGGCUUUGAAGAAAUGAGGGAGUCAUGGAGAAUAGUUGAGGUUUGCACCUGUGGGACAUGGCUGGAGGCUCUGAGGAAAGGCUAAGAGAGCCCACUGGUGAAGAUGCAGCCUCAGUUGCAGUGGAGACUUCAGUAUACUAGAAAUACCAGUACCAUGGGAUAAUGGCUAAGGACUAAGCAAUCAGUACAAAGUAGAGCUACCAGACAAGCUGCAUGAACUUCAGAUGGCAGAGACUAGAAGUGAAACUGCCCAGGCUCUUUGGAGCCCAAAAGAUUGUGAGUGGUACUCAGACAUCAACCACUGAAUUUUUGUACUGUUGAAUCUUGCUUUUGCUUUGCUUUAAUUGUUACUGUGUCCUGACUUUUCUGUCUUGAAAUAAGAAAGUAUUUGACUUGUUUUUGUUUGUUUGUUUAAUUUUAUUUUACAGGAGCCCUUAACGAUAACUCUUUCUGCCAGCCGCCCAAGCCUUGCCGCCAGGCUAGGGCCCCCAAACAACACAGAGUCUUAUACUAGUUACAUGCUGCUGGCCAAUGACUCUGAUUUUGUAUCUGAUAGCUCAGUCUUAAUUAUCAACCUUAACUACUAAUCUAUAUAUUUUUAUAAGGACUUAUCUUAUGGAGAAUGCUGGCCUUAUGUGUCCUCUCUUCCAGGCGAUCACAUGGCGACUCCUCUCCUAUUGUAUUUCCCAGAAUCCUCCUUCUCUACUAGUCCCACCUAACUUGCUUCUCUAUUGGCCAACAGUGCUUUAUUUAUCAACCAAUAAGACAAACAUUUACACAGAAAGACCUCCCCAUCAGAGCCCACAGUUCAGAUACUUUUAACUUUCGAAAAGGUGUUGGACGUUUUAAAGUAACAGAACUUUUUAAAGGGUUUGAAUUUUAUUUUAAAGACUAAGAGACUUUAGAGUAACCUGAGUAGCAUUGUGUUGGAUAUUCUUUGAAGAGCUGGUAGAACUGUUUGGAUAGUGUAUAUGGUCCUAUUCCGCCCCCCCCACACACACACUGAGAGAUGUUUUACUAUUCAGUAUCAUUGCAGGUUAUAGAUCUAUUUACAUGAUUUAUCUUAUUUUGGUUUGCACCCGCCCAUUCAGGUCAGAUGAUGAAGCUCAUGAGUGCCUGUGCUUUCCUAUUAACUAUAGUUUCUCUUUCUCCUCUGCUGGAUAUAUAACCAACUCAGCAAAACCAAGCAAUGCCACUGCUCAACAGACACCAAUACUCCGUAUUUGCAAAUGCUUGCAUCAUUGCAACUGUCUUGACAUCAUCCUCCAUGGCUACCUUAGUGAUGUUUUCAACAGCUAAGCUUCCACAUUAUGUAAAGGGCAGUAUUUCAUGCCUCUUACCCCAGGAUAGUGACCAUGUCAGCUGCCAACCAGUGCAUGAUCCAAUCUCUAAACUGCUACUCAAACCAUGCUUAAUGCCAUUGGUGUUUAACUGUAUCUUCUGAGAAGCAGACAGGACUACAGGCAACUCCCCAUCAUGUUCAGCACUCCAAUGAACUGAGGACCCAAUAUCUGGUUAAAGAAAUGAUCUGACUAGACACAUACAGAGUUUUUUCUGUCAUUAUUCCCUAAUAAAAUGGUGAUUUACACACAUUAGUUUUUAUAAGAACUCUAGAUACAGUACAGAGCUCACAAGAGGAUUGUAUAUAGGUUCUACACAAAUGCUAUAUAUACUAUUUCAUAUAAGAGACUUGAGUAUCUGUACAUGUUGACAUCCUGGAACCAAUCCCCUACUGAGGUAGAAAGCUGCUCUAUCUAAACUGAAAUUACAUAGGUUCUUAUUAGUAAACAUUAUUGUGUGAGGGUGAAAAGGCCUGAAAACACAGUCCUCUGACUAUGCAUGUGACCCAAGUAAAUAAAGGGAUGGGUAUCCAGUCCAUUGGCUGGUACUUCUGGGCAAACAUAUUGUGUGGCUAGAGCUCUGGGUGGAGAGCAUCCUUGUCCACUAUGGAGUAGAAGCCACACUUCUAGUAGAGCUCUUUCAAGAUCUUUGGAGCCACCACAUGCCGAAAGUUUGCUAUUAUGACCGUAAUGAGAAAAUCAGUAGGACAUGAGAUACUAAUUUAUACUCUGUUUAGAGAAGAUUGAACUUCCCUUCUGUGGCCCAAAGGUGAAACCAGAUGUCACAGAGGAAGAGGGGGGAGUGGUACCCAGCGGGCACACCCCUCCCACCCACAGUGAGUUUUCUUAAUGGCUGUCUGUCUUAUAUCCAGCAACUAUAGCUUUAAGGGCUUUAGGGAACAUUUAUUCUUUAUUAUGACACAAUACGAAUAAACCACAGAGCCAAGUUCAUGGAGACAAAGUCAGGGAUGCCAGGAGCCUGCUGUGGAGGGAUGUGCCUUUACUACUAUUUCUUCAGGGGACAAAGACAGGCUGGUGCUUUUAUGAGACACUGUGGUGGUUGUAUUCAUUAGUAGCAAGCACUGAGAAGUUAAGCUCCCACUGUAAUAUGCCAUUCAUGGCCUGUUUAAUAUACUAAGUGUGAUGGCUAGACCCCUGCUGACUUCCACUGGGGAACAUAAAUAUACAGGCAACUAAACUAAACAGCUACCUGUGACUAUUUGAAAAUAUACUUCCCCAAGACAGAAUGAAUUUUCAUUUUUAUUGGAUUUUUUGAAAAAAUUCUUCCAGGUGGAAAUCAUCUUCAUAUACCUAUGAACCAUCACUCUUUGCUGACAAAUGAUGCUACUGAGACUGCUUUUUGAGCUGUAUUAUUAAAUCAUUGUUAAAUUAUUGACUAAUUACAGUUGUGUUUUGUUUAACUUGAUUUCAUCUACUCAUUUAAAAAAAUUCAAGUCUAAUUUUGUGUAUCAGUAUAUUUUAUAGACUCGCAGAACCUUUAAAGAAAAACCAAGCAUUGUGAGUGAAAACAUGAUUUAGAUUAGGAGAAAAUAAACAGAUUUUCCAGCUGUAAGAGAAAAGUGCCCUCUGAUGAUGGACACUUGGGAUCUGAUUUCCAUCCUCAGGAAGUACCACCCAUCCACCCUGUUGGGCACUGCCCACAAUGUCAGUUAACACUGGUGUCUUCACACAGUUCCAAUGCUCUCUUGGGUCCCACUUGUGACUCGAGCAACAACUAAGGCAACACCUGGAAGCCUUUUCUUUGGGACCUACCAGACACUAGUGCUGGGACACUAGCUUAUGGAUCAAAAAGUCCUCAUGUGUGCGAUGUCCUAGUUGCCAUUCUGUGAAACAUAAAUGCUCACCAAUGAAGUUGCCCCAACAGCCAGUGUGGCACCCUGGGAUGUGGGCUAGAGAAAGAUACGGCUACCAACCAAUGCCUGCCUACGUCUGUCUAACAGGCAGAUAUCUGUUGACAGCUCAUUGUAAACACAGGUACACAAAUACACUCUCCUGCAUGGUUUCACACAUAUAAGUGUGCAGAGAGGGGGGGAGCAAGUACGUACCUGGGCCUCUCCACUACUCAAGAUUAAGUCUAGCAGAAGGGACAAUAAUGUAGUCAGGGGAUUAACCAUGAGAUAGAUGUGGAUGAUGCUGAGCUCACAUAGAAAACUGUUUCACAGAAAGAAACAGUUCUCUUAAACACAAGGAGCAUGCUAUACAGUAGAGACCAAAAGCCCACUUCAGUAAAUUCACACUCUAAGUACCACAGUGAUUUUCUCCAUAAUAAAGCAGUAAACAUUGUUCACAGCCUGUACUUUUGGAUGCUUGGUAACACAGUGAGUCUGUCCAUGCCAGUGUCACUACAGCUCCAUUAUAAUCCAGGGACCACUGUUUUAUCUGUGGUCUUCUCACUGACUGUAGUGUUAUUUUGCAAUGCAUGACUGAACUUCUCUCUACCUUUUUGCAGUACAAGAACUCUGGUUUUAAAAGCACAGACUCAGUGUGAUGAGUCAUACCCUCAGGGCCCUCCAAUCAGAACACCAGCUUUCAGGCAAUGUGAUCCUUGCAAAACUUCUCCAUCCUGUGGGGUCAGCUUUCUGUUCCUGUGAUGAACCAGCUUAUGAAGAAGAAAGGUUUAUUGUGGUUCACGUUUUGGAGGUUCUAAGCCAGGGCUCCCUGGCUUGAGUGCUUUGCCCUUGACAUGAGCAUUGAAGGGAAUAAUAAUGAGACGUUAAUUAAUUAUGAGAUGUUAAUUAAUGUAAUAGUUGAUACUCCUAAAUUUAAUGGUUUGAUUAGUCAUCGUGGCUGGAGUCUGUGGCAGAGAAAGUUGCUCUCUUCGUGACAAAUGGGAAGCAAAGAGGAAAAGGAAGAGGCUGUGGUCCCAAUAUUCCUCUCAAGAGCACACACAUAGUGAAAAAAAAAAUCUUCUUCUAGCAGGCCCAUCUCCAAACAGUCCAGCACUUUCCAAAGGCACCAAUGGCACCACAAAGCCCAAGUGCACCUUUGGGGCAUGUUUAAGAUCUAAAUUGUAGCAAGGACUAUUCGGUCAUCACCACUGUCCUGGAAAACCAGUGUCACUCUUUCCUUUUCAAGUCUAGAUGUUGGUGCUCAACAGGCUUCAGGGAAAGCUCAGGACAGAGCUGUCACUCUCCUGGACUUCUCCUGAUUGUCUUGCCUCAGCACUGGUGACAGUAGGACCGGUAGGGUUGACCAAGUUCCCUUUUAGAGUUGGAUCCUUUUAUAAGAUAAAUCAGUAACCUUUCUCUAGUGUAUUUCCUUGGGAACCUCUAUUUUGUUGGCUGAUAAAACAGGCAGCUGGCAGCUUUUUUUCGGAAUGAUUCCUGAAAUAGGCAGGCUUUGGGGUAAGAAGCAUAUCAAGGGCCCAGCUGGGUGUAGUCUGUCAAAGUCUCCUCCCCACCCUGCCAGCACCAUGUGACCAGGGCGGAGGUAAGGGAACACUUCCUCUGCUGAGCACCUGUCCAAGCCUGGACAGAACACCACAGCCUGCUCCUUUGUUUCUUUGCACAGCUGAGAAAGCUUGGGGUUUUCAAAAGAAAUCCUUCCUAAAACAUCACUGAGAAGCAAACAAUAUGUGACCAAAGAAAAGACCAAAAGCUAAAAACCACCUUCAAAGUUCUGAGGUCCACAAAAGCCACCCUUCACCCCUACCCCCAACCCGUACCCCAAGUUUGCAGGCUUGUUUGGUUUCCUGGCCUUCUAAGUCUUCUUCAUCUCCUGCUCCCCUUCUCCCUGCCAUGCCUGUCUUUGUCUCCUCUUUUCUAAGGGAGACACUCUUGCCACAUAAGAAAUAGAAGAUGAACAGCUGGUGUCACCGCUGAAAAACAGCAGCCCUGCCCCGGAAAUGUGCCACAUGAGGAAGAGGAGGCCACCGGCUCAGGACUGUGCUCCCUUCCCUGGUGCAAGGGGUGUAGGGACCAGGACAAGAGAGCAGAGAUUCGGAGCUGUUCUCUGCAUCUGUGACCUGCCAGUUGUCCUGGGCAUGUGACAGAAUUGGAUGGGCCCCAGUGCCCUCAGCAAGAUGGAAAUAACUAUGUUCCUGCUCAAGGGGACGUGAAAAACAUCGUGAAAUGGCACACAGGAGGUACUGAACAGACUGACCCAUGGAAAGCUGAGCUUGGCAUGACUCAGUGCUGUCAUCACAAGGGUAGCUGGAGCCCAAGAAGCAGAGGCAGAGCCUGGUGACACAGGUGAAAGAGCUUUGUAUGUGUGCAACUCUGGGAAUUCCAUGACACCAUCCCCAAGCUUUGUUCUUGCCACUCAGGCCUCCUGCCAAGCGUGUUUGUGCACUCAGCGAGUCCUGGGCCUUUGCUUGCCUGACACACCUGUAGGAAUAUGAGGCAGAAAAGCCACGAAGAGGGAGGGAGAAGAACAAGCAGGAGGACUGAGCUCUCCAAUAGCACACGGAGCAUAUGCAGGCAUCACUGAAAGGUGGUGAACCAGGAGAAAUCAUGCAUGUGGGCUUUGCUUUGAGAGCUGAGAACCCAAAGCUAAGCAGCUCAGAUGAAUGGGGUGCGUUUCCAGGAAGCCUCUCAUUUCCUCUGGUUUCUUUUCACUACUGAUAUCUUCCUUUCCACAAUCCCCUUGCCUCUCCUCCUCUUAAUUAAAAAAAAAAGCAAUGGAACACAGGGGCACAUGUUGUAAUCCCAGUACCCAACAGACUGAGACAAGAGGAUUGCAAGUUCAAGGCCAGACUAGGGUACAUAGUGAGAACCUGCCUCAAAAUAAAACCAAAAACAAAAUAAUUAACGUUACCUGGAACAUACUGGUGGUUUUCAGUAAUUAGAAAAGUCGAUAUCUCCCACUUUGUUUAAUAUACUAGUUUACACUGCCAUAAAGGGUUGAGACAGUGUCUGUUCUGGUUCCCAGGGAAACUUCAGGCCUGUAGGCAUGCCUACUGCGUGGUGGGAUGCUCAGAGAGUGUUGGAUGAUGGCUAGAGAAUUCAAAUCAUAAGGCUGAUAAAUAUUUCUAUUCUAGGACUUCAUUAAAUAUGAUACAUUGUCUUCACUGGGGUUUCUACUGCUCCAAUGAAACACCAUGACCAAAAAGUUGGGGAGGAAAGGGUUUAUUCAGCUUAUACUUCCAUAUCACAG
ensembl:lncRNA